rnacentral:rRNA from 1 species
UUGAACGCUGGCGGCAGGCCUAACACAUGCAAGUCGAGCGGAUGAAGGGAGCUUGCUCCUGGAUUCAGCGGCGGACGGGUGAGUAAUGCCUAGGAAUCUGCCUGGUAGUGGGGGAUAACGUCCGGAAACGGGCGCUAAUACCGCAUACGUCCUGAGGGAGAAAGUGGGGGAUCUUCGGACCUCACGCUGUCAGAUGAGCCUAGGUCGGAUUAGCUAGUUGGUGGGGUAAAGGCCUACCAAGGCGACGAUCCGUAACUGGUCUGAGAGGAUGAUCAGUCACACUGGAACUGAGACACGGUCCAGACUCCUACGGGAGGCAGCAGUGGGGAAUAUUGGACAAUGGGCGAAAGCCUGAUCCAGCCAUGCCGCGUGUGUGAAGAAGGUCUUCGGAUUGUAAAGCACUUUAAGUUGGGAGGAAGGGCAGUAAGUUAAUACCUUGCUGUUUUGACGUUACCAACAGAAUAAGCACCGGCUAACUUCGUG